UACGUAGGGGGCAAGCGUUGUCCGGAUUUAUUGGGCGUAAAGAGCGUGUAGGCGGCUUCACAGGUCCGCUGUGAAAACUCGAGGCUCAACCUCGAGCUGUCGGUGGAAACCGUGUGGCUAGAGUCCGGAAGAGGAGAGUGGAAUUCCCGGUGUAGCGGUGAAAUGCGCAGAUAUCGGGAAGAACACCCGUGGCGAAGGCAGCCCCCUGGGCUGACACUGACGCUGAGGCACGAAAGCGUGGGGAGCAAACAGG
rnacentral:rRNA from 1 species